rnacentral:tRNA from 1 species
GGGCCCGUAGCUCAGUUGGUUAGAGCAUUGCCCUGAUAAGGCAAAGGCUGUUGGUUCGAAUCCAACCGAGCCCACCA